rnacentral:rRNA from 1 species
UACAUGUGGGGCAAGCGUUGUUCGGAAUUACUGGGCAUAAAGGGUGCGUAGGCGGCUUGUUAAGUCAGGGGUGAAAGUUUUCGGCCCAACCGGAAAAUUGCCUUUGAUACUGGCGAGCUGGAGUGCGUGAGGGGUGACCGGAACGAGUGGUGUAGCGGUGAAAUGCGUAGAUAUCACUCGGAAGGCCAACGGCGAAGGCAGGUCACUGGUGCGCAACUGACGCUGAGGCGCGAAAGCGUGGGGAGCAAACAGG